GUUGUCGUGGCCGAGUGGUUAAGGCGACAGACUCGAAAUCUGUUGGGCGUUGCCCGCGCAGGUUCGAAUCCUGCCGACAACG